rfam:Oryza sativa (indica cultivar-group) chromosome 2, whole genome shotgun sequence.
AUAUCUUUGGUUAAGAUCAAGUGUAGUGGAGCAUUUGUUUUUAUCAGUUUAAUAUCUGAUAUAUGAACCAUGUGUUCACUGUGAUAUUAAAUUUAUUUUUUGUGGGGGAGGGUCCACUUAAGUAGCUUGCCACUGGGGUCCCCAGGCGUUGCCCAACCAAAACAACUUUU